rnacentral:tRNA from 1 species
AACUCAAUAAUUUUAAUGUGUUAGUUGAUCGUAUGUUCACCCAUGACAUUCAUGGGUAUCGGAUUGCAAAUCCGUGUACACCGGUUCGAUUCCGGUACUCGCCUCCA